rnacentral:rRNA from 1 species
GACAGAGGGUGCAAACGUUGUUCGGAGUUACUGGGCGUAAAGGGCGCGUAGGCGGUGUGUCAAGUCAGGCGUGAAAGCCCCGGGCUCAACCUGGGAACCGCGCUUGAGACUGGCACGCUCGAGUUCGGGAGAGGAUGGUGGAAUUCCCAGUGUAGAGGUGAAAUUCGUAGAUAUUGGGAAGAACACCGAUGGCGAAGGCAGCCAUCUGGACCGACACUGACGCUGAGGCGCGAAAGCGUGGGGAGCAAACAGG